AGAGUGGCGGACGGGUGAGUAACGCGUUGGGAAUCUACCCAGUAGUGGGGGACAACUACCGGAAACGGUAGCUAAUACCGCAUACGCCCUAUGGGGGAAAGGCUUCGGCCGCUAUUGGAUGAGCCCGCGUCAGAUUAGCUAGUUGGUAGGGUAAGGGCCUACCAAGGCAACGAUCUGUAGCUGGUCUGAGAGGACGAACAGCCACACUGGGACUGAGACACGGCCCAGACUCCUACGGGAGGCAGCAGUGGGGAAUAUUGGACAAUGGGCGAAAGCCUGAUCCAGCAAUGCCGCGUGUGUGAAGAAGGCCUGCGGGUUGUAAAGCACUUUCAGUUGGGAAGAUGAUGACGUUACCAACAGAAGAAGCACCGGCUAAAUCCGUGCCAGCAGCCGCGGUAAUACGGAUGGUGCGAGCGUUAAUCGGAAUUACUGGGCGUAAAGCGCGCGUAGGCGGCUAAGUCAGUCAGAAGUGAAAGCCCCGGGCUCAACCUGGGAAUUGCUUUUGAUACUGCUUAGCUAGAGUUUGGUAGAGGAUAGUGGAAUUCCAGGUGUAGCGGUGAAAUGCGUAGAUAUCUGGAGGAACAUCAGUGGCGAAGGCGACUGUCUGGACCAAAACUGACGCUGAGGUGCGAAAGCGUGGGUAGCAGACAGGAUUAGAUACCCUGGUAG
rnacentral:rRNA from 1 species